rnacentral:rRNA from 1 species
UACGUAGGGUGCAAGCGUUAAUCGGAAUUACUGGGCGUAAAGGGCGCGUAGGCGGCUUAUCAAGUCAGGCGUGAAAUUCCCGGGCUCAACCUGGGGGCUGCGCUUGAUACUGAUUGGCUUGAAUGCGGGAGAGGAUAGUGGAAUUCCCAGUGUAGAGGUGAAAUUCGUAGAUAUUGGGAAGAACACCGGUGGCGAAGGCGGCUAUCUGGCCCGUAAUUGACGCUGAGGCGCGAAAGCGUGGGGAGCAAACAGG